UGUAUGUAUAUUUAUGUAUGUAUGACAUAAUUUCGCUUACCGUUCUUUAUUGAUUUUUUUGUAUGGCAUGAGAAAGACAAUAUUCCAAACUGUAGUUCUCCAGUAAUUGUGCAUGACACAGCAGCAAUCCAGAAUUCCUCAUGUAUCCCAUUGUAAAACAUAAAGCUAUCUGAGAAUUGAGACACAAUUAACCCACCAUGGAACCUCUAUAUUGACACAUAAGGUUAACUUAUAAUAGAAACAGCUAAGCCAAUAGAAAGUGAAAUGGAAUUCAGAGAGCCUGCCACACGAUCAAAACCCAAGAUUUGAUAUUAUGCCAAGAAGAACAUCUUCCAGCUGAAAAAAUAGAAUUCUUCUUAGUUCGUCGGAGCACUGAAAUGUCCUUGAGGAAUCGCCACACUGUCUUCCCUUUUAUAACUUCUUCCAGCCAUGUAUUCCAGUCAGUGUCAAAUGGCAUUGUGGCAAUGGGGUUGCUGCUGCCCCACCAAACCUGCAAUCUCUCAGGAAAAGCUUGAAGAUGGGCCAUCACUUCUGCUCUAGCAUUUCAAGAAAAACCUCAUUUCCCUUGCUUGCCUGUUUAUGUCUCACUCCCAUGCCUGAGACAAGCCUUGGAAUCUGAAGCAACAUGAUGGAACAGUUAAUUCUGGACACGUUCAUUUUCUCUGAGCCAGAGACAGGAAGAGUGUCAAGUGUGUGGGAAGAGUGUAAGGGAUAAAUAAAAAAAGUAAAGUUUUGAAACUGUUUAGUCCU
rnacentral:lncRNA from 13 species